ACAACAUGAUGGGGACACUUUCUAAUCAGGUCCUUAAGUCUUUCCUAGGUCUCAUGAAAUUGCUCACCAUCAAUUUGCGAAAAGCUAGUGAUGGCUUGCCUAAUUUG